GAUGAACGCUGGCGGCGUGCCUAAUACAUGCAAGUCGAGCGAACAGAUGAGGAGCUUGCUCCUCUGACGUUAGCGGCGGACGGGUGAGUAACACGUGGAUAACCUACCUAUAAGACUGGGAUAACUUCGGGAAACCGGAGCUAAUACCGGAUAAUAUAUUGAACCGCAUGGUUCAAUAGUGAAAGACGGUUUUGCUGUCACUUAUAGAUGGAUCCGCGCCGCAUUAGCUAGUUGGUAAGGUAACGGCUUACCAAGGCAACGAUGCGUAGCCGACCUGAGAGAGUGAUCGGCCACACUGGAGCUGAGACACGGUCCAGACUCCUACGGGAGGCAGCAGUAGGGAAUCUUCCGCAAUGGGCGAAAGCCUGACGGAGCAACGCCGCGUGAGUGAUGAAGGUCUUCGGAUCGUAAAACUCUGUUAUUAGGGAAGAACAAAUGUGUAAGUAACUAUGCACGUCUUGACGGUACCUAAUCAGAAGGCCACGGCUAACUACGUG
rnacentral:rRNA from 1 species